UACGUAGGUGGCAAGCGUUGUCCGGAUUUAUUGGGUUUAAAGGGUGCGUAGGCGGUCUUAUAAGUCAGUGGUGAAAUACGGCAGCUCAACUGUCGAGGUGCCAUUGAUACUGUAGGACUUGAGUACAGACGAGGUAGGCGGAAUUGACGGUGUAGCGGUGAAAUGCUUAGAUAUCGUCAAGAACACCGAUAGCGAAGGCAGCUUACUAGGCUGUAACUGACGCUGAGGCACGAAAGCGUGGGUAGCAAACAGG
rnacentral:rRNA from 1 species